rnacentral:tRNA from 1 species
GCAGAGAUACCGAAGCCCGGUCAACCGAGAGGGACUCAAGAUCCCUUCCCUUAGGGGUUCGUGGGUUCAAAUCCCACUCUCUGCA